UCAACCAAAGUUGGGGGGGGGGGGCAUUCAGACCAUGGUCUUCCUAAACAGGAUUAAGCUUCCUGGGCUAAAAAGAUGAGGUUAAAACUAAUCAAUUUAUUAAGCACAUGAUAGCACAAAGAGCUUGCUUACUGACACCUAGAGAUCUUGCCCAUUGAUCUUACCUUCUGCCUAUUCCUCUAACAGGAUGAAGACAUGAGAUAAGGACUAAGACUGGGCUUAUAACAUUUGGCCAAAGCAACAUUUCUAUUUGGUUUUAAAGAAUGUAAAGUUCUUUGUGUCCGUGACCAAGAAAUCACACUGAUGAAUAAAAGGCAUGGAAGACUCAGAGAUGAAAAAGAAAUACUUGUAUCCCAUCUGUUGAUUCAGCAAAUCUGCUCUGGAACUUGCAGAGAGCUGACACAUUUAAGAAAGGAUGCCCCUGAGGAAAGGUUUCUUGACUACUUCAUUCAAAACGACAGUCAAAAGUCCAGGACUUGGUAAAUCACUGCUGCCCAAGAGGCAACGUUGUACAAGGCAAGGAGGCUUAAUAACUCUGGUGCUUCUGUGUGCUUUCAUUUGCCUAAGGAAACAUUUCUGAGCAAAGCAAGUUGAGAAAACCGUUUCAAUGAGAUGAAAGACUCUGUUGAAGUUCACAGAAGUAAUAAAUGGCUGAGUUUUUGAGCUCAAGGACAUCUGACUCAUGAUCUUACAAUUCUUCUGUACUGCUGUGGAAUUUUAUUCCUUCAUUUACUCAUUCACAAAGUCCUUGUGGAGACUGCAUUCUAGAUCCUGGCCUAAAUAUUGGGAAUGGAGAGAUAAGACUUACUCUCUGCUCAUAAGCAGCUCCCAAUCUACUAAAAGAAGACAGACAUGUAAAUUUGAAAGACAGCAAUACAAGAAUUUCAGGUACAGUUAUGGAAAGGCAUGACAAAUGUGGGAGAAAGAAAUCCUAUGGUGCAGAGUGGGACAAUUUCACAGUGCUAGCUGGCAACAUUCACAUAGAAUACCACGUGAUUGGUGCCCCAUGGAAGGCCAGGGUACAAAUCAGUAGAGGAAGAAUCUUUUCUGGUUUCAGCUCUUUUGUUUCUAAGGUGUCCUUCACAUUUCUAUUAGAGUUAUCAUUUUAAAUGCAAAUAUAAUUGUAUUAGUGCUUCUCUUUAACUUUCUAUCAUCCACUGACUCUCUCUGCCACCCACAGAGUAAAAUCAAAAUGUUUUAUCAAACAUAUCAAGGAUAAUAUCUUAUCUUUAUUCUAGAACAAAGAUGGUUCAAGAAUUAGCUCAUUGUCCAUCGAUUCAGCCACAUUCUGUAUCACUUGGCCCUCACACACUGGUGCUUCAUCAUUUCAGAUCUUACUCUGGGGUUAAGACUCCCAAAUGUAUUUGGCUAUUUUCCCACCUAUAUGUAUUCACACUGAAUGUUCUGUCUGCAGUAUUCUCCCCUUUUAUCCAGGCGCCAACGACUUGUUUUUUUAAGGUUUAACUUGAACAUCACCUUCUUUGUGAAAUGUUAGAGUGGAAGGAACGUGACUUUAUAAUCUAACAGAGUUAAAGAAAAAUAUUGGCUCCAUGACUUAAAGAUUUGUCCUUGGAUAGAUAGUUAUAUAUGUCUCUGAUCCUUUGUCUCAC